rnacentral:rRNA from 1 species
UACGUAGGUGGCAAGCGUUGUCCGGAAUUAUUGGGCGUAAAGCGCGCGCAGGCGGUCUCUUAAGUCUGAUGUGAAAGCCCACGGCUCAACCGUGGAGGGUCAUUGGAAACUGGGGGACUUGAGUACUGGAGAGGAGAGUGGAAUUCCAUGUGUAGCGGUGAAAUGCGUAGAUAUCGAGAGGAACACCUGCGGCGAAGGCGGGUUGCUGGGCUGACACUGACGCUGAGGCGCGAAAGCGUGGGGAGCGAACAGG